rnacentral:ncRNA from 2 species
GGCAAAGUAGAUUGCUGCGCGUUAAGUGCCGGAUGGACGGGAAGUUGCCGUCCGGACGAAAAAUCCUCGUGAUUUGCGGUGCAGCUUUCGCAUUCCGUUGCC